GACGAACGCUGGCGGCGUGCUUAACACAUGCAAGUCGAACGGAAAGGCCCCUUUGGGGGUACUCGAGUGGCGAACGGGUGCGUAACACGUGAGUAACCUGCCCUUGACUUCGGGAUAACUUCAGGAAACUGGGGCUAAUACCGGAUAGGAAUCCUUGCUGCAUGGUGGGGGUUGGAAAGCUUCGGCGGUUUUGGAUGGACUCGCGGCUUAUCAGCUUGUUGGUGGGGUAGUGGCUUACCAAGGCUUUGACGGGUAGCCGGCCUGAGAGGGCGACCGGCCACAGUGGGACUGAGAGACGGCCCAGACUCCUACGGGAGGCAGCAGUGGGGAAUAUUGCACAAUGGGCGGAAGCCGGAUGCAGAAACGCCGCGUGCGGGAGGACGGCCUUCGGGUUGGAAACCGCUUUCAGCAGGGGCGAAGCUUGUGGUGACGGUACCUGCAGAAGAAGCACCGGCUAACUACGUG
rnacentral:rRNA from 1 species